CUACGGGACGCACCAGUGGGGAAUAUUGCACAAUGGGCGCAAGCCUGAUGCAGCCAUGCCGCGUGUAUGAAGAAGGCCUUCGGGUUGUAAAGUACUUUCAGCGGGGAGGAAGGGAGUAAAGUUAAUACCUUUGCUCAUUGACGUUACCCGCAGAAGAAGCACCGGCUAACUCCGUGCCAGCAGCCGCGGUAAUACGGAGGGUGCAAGCGUUAAUCGGAAUUACUGGGCGUAAAGCGCACGCAGGCGGUUUGUUAAGUCAGAUGUGAAAUCCCCGGGCUCAACCUGGGAACUGCAUCUGAUACUGGCAAGCUUGAGGCUCGUAGAGGGGGGUAGAAUUCCAGGUGUAGCGGUGAAAUGCGUAGAGAUCUGGAGGAAUACCGGUGGCGAAGGCGGCCCCCUGGACGAAGACUGGCGCUCAGGUGCGAAAGCGUGGGGAGCAAACAGGAUUAGAUACCCCUGUAGUC
rnacentral:rRNA from 1 species